CCCGCCCACCCACCAAUCAGCUGAGAGGCAGGGAGAGAAGUAGCUGCUGUGUUGCAGCUUGCAGGCUGCUUGGAGGGCAAAGCAAGCAGGAGAGAAGAAGGCAAACAGGCCCCCUUUCUCUCACUCCCACCAAAGCGGGAAAGCAGAGGCCCUCAGCAAAGCUUGGAAUAAAAUACUAGAAUGUAAGUCCACAGGAACUUACUUCUGAGCAAACACACACAAGACUCAGGACCAGCAGACCUCCUAGGUGAUAUUUGCUCAGGCUGUGUUGCUCUAUACUUAAACGAUGACUUGCUAAAGUACAUUAGAAUUGGAAGCUUCUAUACAUACCCACAAUUGACAUUUCUGGAACAGCUGCGUGAUAUGGACCAUCGACAAAUUCAGGGACAUUUGUACUACCUGGACUGAACCACUUCUAACAAAAAUAGACUUGGUCAAUCAGAAGAGUAUUAUAUUGCCUAUUUCCUGGCGGAUCAACAUGCAGAUAGCAAGAUUUUGUGCAGCAGCUUGUAAACUGAGAAGGGGACAACUUAGCUGUAACUGAGCUUUUAUAUUAAGUCCUGAAGACACGACUCACACUGCUUCCAUUUCUGCAAUUAAGUGACUUUUUUGUGCGGCUUCAGGCAUCAUUUCAAAUCAUUGGCUCCAGUCGGCUCCCGAGCCUUAUUAUGUAAUACAGCGACAUAUAUUUCAGCCUGGUAUUCUGAGGGCUCAUCGGGAAAUCCUCUUGGGAAGUCUCUCAUUUUAGAGACAGAUCACGUUUAACGGACCCAGAGACACUCAGCCUUUAGCUUUCUGGACUCUUUCCCAACUUCCUGUGCAUUCUAAGAAGCCCCAGCUCACUUUCGAAAUAUUGAGAUAUGUCGGUGGCUUUUGCAUUUGUUUAUAUACAUCACUGCUUCCAGUAAUUGUAACACCUUCUUCGUGCUGUGA